rnacentral:rRNA from 1 species
GACGAACGCUGGCGGCGUGCUUAACACAUGCAAGUCGAACGGAAAGGCCUGCUUUCCCUUGUGGAUUGCGGGUACUCGAGUGGCGAACGGGUGAGUAACACGUGAGUGAUCUGCCCCCAACUUGGGUAUAAGCCUGGGAAACUGGGUCUAAUUCCCGAUAGGACUGCAGGGUGGUGCCUGUGGUGGAAAACGAUUUUCUAGUGGUUGGGGAUGAGCUCGCGGCCUAUCAGCUUGUUGGUGGGGUAAUGGCCUACCAAGGCGGCGACGGGUAGCCGGCCUGGGAGGGUGGACGGCCACAUUGGGACUGAGAUACGGCCCAGACUCCUACGGGAGGCAGCAGUGGGGAAUAUUGCACAAUGGGCGGAAGCCUGAUGCAGCGACGCCGCGUGGGGGAUGACGGCCUUCGGGUUGUAAACUCCUUUCGACCGCGAGGAAGCCACCUGGUUGGAAGGGUGGUGACGGUAGUGGUAGAAGAAGCACCGGCUAACUACGUG